GGAGAGGUGGCUGAGUGGUUGAAAGCAACACACUGCUAAUGUGUUGAGGGUUUACGCCCUCCGAGGGUUCAAAUCCCUCCCUCUCCG
rnacentral:tRNA from 1 species